UGGCCCGUUGGUCAAGCGGUUAAGACACCGCCCUUUCACGGCGGUAACACGGGUUCGAAUCCCGUACGGGUCAUC
rnacentral:tRNA from 21 species